UCUCUCUCUACUUCCUACAGUGCAAUUUAGAUAACCGCAGAUCAAAUCAAAACCCCACCGCCACUCUUCUCUUCUUCACUCUCCACUCUUCUCUUUUCUUUCCUUCUCCCCAUAUUUAUUUUUAUAUAUAUUUAUAUAAAACUGUGUAUUGAUAUGAUAUGAUUUGCGGUGUACAAGGUGUCACUUACUGUUCAACUACAUGCCCACUUCAUAUCCUUUUAAAUUUCACAUUUUUCAUUUCCAUGUAGUCUGUAGAAGCGAAGGAAGAAUAAGAGAAAGGGAAGGGAGGAGAAAAGGGGAAGAAAAGAAAAGCUUUAUUUUUUUCUUUUUUUUUAAGAGGAAGAGGAAGAGGAUGAGCUUUCUCUGCAGAUUUAUAGAGAUCUUUAAUUAACUAUCGCUUUCUCUAUUGUUUUUUAUUUUUCGCUGACUCUCAUGGAGAUAGUGACAUUUCCUCUUCUUCUUCCUCUGCAUUCUGCUUCAAUUUAUUACUCUUCAGCUUCCGUGAUUUAUGCACUUUUUACCCUUUUCAUGUCUUGUUUUUUUUUUUUUUCCCUUUCUCUAUAUACAAGUUUUUCCCCAUUUUAAACAGUGUAACUGGAGAUCAAGAUGUAAAUGCUACUUCUAAUGGAGGAAAAGUUUUGCCUUUGGUUAUGGGUUUUGAACAAGGAAGACUCUGCUAGCUCCUCUACCGUGUUUCUCUUCUUAUGAACUUAAUAUAAAAUGUUCAGUAGUUUUUUUAA